rnacentral:lncRNA from 1 species
CAGUCAUAAAGAAAUUCUAACAUAUUUAACCUAAUAAUCAACCGCGGAAGCUUUUGGAACAACUUAUGGCUUUUAACUUUAUUAAAAAAAUUAUAGAAAAAUAUAGUUAUUUAUAAAUAGUAAAAUCAUGUCUCACUAACCAAUUGCAGACUUCACAUCUUCAAAUCGUGAGGGACAAAAAGCACCUAUAACAAAUACAACAGCGUGUGACUCCCAGAUUGAGCGAAGACCAAGCUGAUAAGCAGGGAAAUUAAAUUAACAUCUUAUUAUAGAGAGAAAGCUUACAGUAGAUUGUGUGUAUGGAGAAUUCGAACUGAUUGAGAAAGCUUACAACAGAGGAUGGUAACAAACUAAUUUGGGGAUUAGGGUUUAGGGAAGAAAGAUGCAAUUAAGUUUUCUGAAGAAAGCCAUGACUUUGGGGAAGAAAGAUGAAACUGAUUUUGGGAUUUUUUGAUGGGAUGAAAGAUUGAAAGAAGGAGUGGGGUGUUAUGGCGCGACUUGUGAAAGUGGAGAGAAAAUUUUGGAGAAAAAAAAGUGUGGGAAUGAAAUGUGUAUUACGCGCCUUCUAUAUUUUUGUCCAGUAUAUCAAAGUUAUCCACGGUCAAAACAAAACCGUGAGAGUCAUAAUGUGGCAAGUGGACCCUUCUAUCAUUUUUUGUUGUUAUCCACGCCUAAGGAAAAAUCGUGGCAAUUUUAGUGUGGCCAAUAG